rnacentral:lncRNA from 1 species
GGUUUUCUAAAUCUUACCAGCUUAUGAAAUUGCCAUGAUUUUCUAUGUUUGUUUCACGAAUUUAUGUGUAUUUGCAUGCCUAUUGGUGGGGAGCCUUUUCUUUUUUUCUUCCUGGAGGCCCAAGUGACCUCCCUGCCUCAUACUCGUGAGUGCUAGGACAACGGGCACAGUAAUCUUUGUGUCUCCAUUUACAGUCCCUUCGUAUUCUGCGUAUGGUUUGGCCCUGAAGACUCUCAGGCCCACUCUGUAUCGAGUAGUAAAAAGCCCCCUAUGGGCCCGUGAGUCCACCUUGGCGUGUGCCUGUGAAAUGGGCCGCAGUCCCCAUCCCCGCCUGUGUCUGCUUCACAGCUGAGCCCUGGUGCACACUGGUAGUCACUGUGCUGCUCCACAUCAUACAGGCUGUCACACCGCCUCGCCUUGGAUGAAGAAGAGUAUUUGGAAACCAAGAUCUAGGACCCGUGAAGACAUUUCCAUCAUCUCAAAGUGUUCUCUUGUGUCACAUUCCGGUCUGUCCCUCGCUGCAGCCCCAGGCUCUCACUCCUCUCCUGUCACCGUGGAUUGAGCGAAACUCAUGUCUAGACUUCUCUGUCACCUGAGUCAUGUUGGGUGUACUCUUUUGUGUUAGGCUUCUUCUCUUCAGCAUGUUUCGAUAUUCACCUGUAUUGUAUUUAUCAGGAGUCCAUCCCUUUUUAUUUCUGCACAUAUGCUACUGUCUCGAAGUGCAUUAAGUGGACAUUUGGUUGUUCCCAGCUGUUACAAAUAAAGUUGCCGUGAAC